UGAUGUUGUAGCAGUUGAUAUUUAAAGAUUUCUCUAUGUUUGUGUCUUCCAGUGUGACAUUCCAAUCAUACGGAGAUGGUGGACUCCAGAUGGUUUUCUCUGAAAGUGCAGAAACCCUACCAGAGGCACUUCCAAUUGGAUAACAGGCUACACUUAUGAGACAUCUGCUCAGGGGGCCAGUGGAAGAGCCUCUUUUCCUUAUAAUGGAGGAAGAGGACAAGAAAA